CCGCCCUCCCCUCCUCCUCUGCUCCGCAUGCUCUCCCCCCACGAUUAACUCCGCUGCUGUACCUGAGGUGGGGGCAGUUCGGUCCCUGGUCCCCCAGAUGGAUGCCGUCGCUCUUCCCCUCUUCUACCUCCUCAACCAUGCGGCCGCUCCCUCCGCGUUUUCCGCUCCCCCCUGGCCGCAUCCUGUGACUCCAUGCUGGCGGCAUUGUGGCCUCAUGCGGAUCGGACUAUACCCCCCCGGCCAGGCCUGACAGCGCUGCUGCUCACAGUGUCCAUGGGACCUACGGCAGUGUGGUGCAGUAAAGGGGCAUGCAGCAGCAGUGUCAUCGCAGUACUCAGAGGAGGAGGCGGUCCAGCCAAUCCGGACCCACCUCUCACCUUUUUUCCCCUCUCUGCCGCUGUUGCCCGACAUCACAAUUCCACAAAAACUAGAAGAGGGGACCUGCUGCUGCCAGUGCUGAAAGGAGGACCCGCUGCUAGCGGCACUAAUGAGAAGGGGGACCCGCUGCUAGCGGCACUAAUGAGAAGGGGGACCCGCUGCUAGCGGCACAAAUGAGAAGGGGGACCCGCUGCUGCCUGAGUGAGGACUCGGCCUGAAGAACAUCUUACAGAGGACCCCUGGAGAGAGGGCAAUAGGAGCACUCCGGUGGAAGUCGAAAUUGGAGGAGUCGUGCCAGCUGCCAGAUAGGAUCGGCAAGGACCCUCUGUGCAGCAGGAGCAGCGUGUUACAGUGUUAUACAUCCUGGGCCUGCUCAGGAGUUCGGAAGUGGCAGAAGAACCGCAAUGCAGAGUGAUUUUUACAUUGCAGAUCAGCCGGAACAGUGCUUGUAAAAAAACCGCCAAGCCUUUUGAAACUAGCUUACACAGCUAUGAAUGAUAGCAAGCACAGCGUCCGUCGAAGAAGCUCAUUGCAGGAAUAUGUAUUUUUCACCAGUACCAUAGACCUCAGGGAACCUUGUAGCACACCGGGUUUGGGUAGUGGAGAAAUACUCACCUGGAAGCUCAGAUGUCUGACCUGGAAGUCACAUGACAGCCGGGAGCUGGAAGACACCACUGCUGCCGUUGCAGCCAUCAGAAUACGGAAGACGCAGCUGGGCUACCAUGACCAUAUGUUGGCAUUCUAGCAUGCCUACAUUUCAUCACUGUCUACAUCAGUGGGUCCCAAACCCUUUUUAAUCAAGGCACACUAGAGUCAGUAUUGUGUUCACGGCACCCCUAGGCCAAAAGUUUCUUACUGAAAAAUUCUGAAAAAAGUAAUUAAAUUAAGUAAAUUGUGUUUAGAUGUCAUCCU